rnacentral:lncRNA from 1 species
CUGGGUGGCAGGGGCUGGCUCUCCAUUGUCCAGAACCUGCAAAGCUGGCUCUCUGGGCUCCCUUCUUCUAGGGUGGCCUCAGGGGAGUCCUGUUCUGCCUCCCCAGGGGAGGUCCCAUGUUCCGGGAGAGCCCUGGCUCAUCAGGAGUGCCCUGGCGGCCUCUCCAGGGCUGAGGCACAGUGGACAACUGUGGAUAGCAGGGCGGAACAGCUGGUGGUCAGGAGACUGACACGGCCGCACUGAGCCCUGCCGGAGCUGGCCUGAGCAUCCCUGCAGCCUGGGAGUGUCCAGGGACCGCACCCAUCGGCCCGCCUUGCGGGAAGGGCGCUGGGAGAGUGGCCAGCUCUCUGGAGGCCUGGCGGCAGGGAGACGGGGGCAGAGUGGAAGCUGGGGUGAGGUAUGAAGCUCCAGAGGUGCUGGCCUGAGCCGAGCCCCAGGACACAGCGCGUGGCAGGCCGGGGGUGUGCGAGUGCCGGAGGGGGUGGGGACGAGGAGGACUGUGCUUCCCCCUUCAGUGGACUCUCCGUUUCAGUAAGUUUUGGAUUCGUGGAGUUAUUGAUAGGGACUCCCCCCCCCCCACUCAUCCUGCUCAGCAUCUCACCUGGCGAGGGACGAGGGGCGCGGGGCGCAGAGCCAGCUUGGCUGUGCUGACAUGGGGUCCACCACCAAAGCCCACACCUGCUCAGACCCCUCAGCUUUGCCUGCGGCCCUCUUCUGCUUUGGCACUGCACUGAGGACAGGAGGGAAGGUCCCAUGUCCCAGGAGAGCCCUGGUCGGUUCCCAGGCAGCCCCAGAGGGAAGAGUGGGCCAACCGCAGCCUCUGACCCUGGCACCCAGGACCACGCCACACACAUCCCUUGUGUCUGGCUUUUCCUCUCUACUUGUGUCCACCCCUGAGAUGUGGCCAUGCUGGUGCAGAGAGCAGAAGGAACUUCGCUGAGGAAUGCUCCAAGCAUGUGGACAUAACACAAGGAGCGUGUGUGUGCCCACAACCUGCAUGAGCACAUCUUGAUCUCUCAGCACCUGGACCUCACCCGUGUGGCCUGUCCGGGCUCAUACUUCUCUGGCCUCCAGCAGCUGCAGGGGACCCUUGCUGCUCUCAACAUGGGCUUUUCCUGUUUGCACAUGCCCCUACCUACAGGCCUUCUCCACAAGAAGGAGGGUGACCUUUGAAAUGGCCCCAGAGCCUGGCCCUGUGUGCUGUCUGCUUUCCGGCUGGGCAGCUGUGUGCGAGGUGCAUCGGCCGUUGCUGAGGCAGCUCUGAGUUGCUCUGUUUCGAGCCUCGCUGGGUGGGUGCACGGGUCCCUGUGGAAUUGACCUAGGUGUGGGGUCCCGGGCUGCCUGCCUGCCUGCUCAGCCUGCGGCAUUUCCACCAAGUCAUGUACCCACUUCCCUGCGUCCUUGCUGUUGCAACGGCUGGUGCGGAGCUCCCACUGGCAUGUCAGGAAUGAAAC